AGCGUGGCGGCGCGCCGGGCGGGGUUCCUGGCGGCGGGUAAGGGCCGGGGUCGCCGGUGGGGCGAGCGAGCUCUUUUGGUGGGUGCAGGGGUGUCUCCUGUCCGCUGGCUGUCUGGGGGUGGAGGAUGGGAAGCUUCAAACCACCCGCCGAGGCAGGCUCCUAGUUUGCGGAAGGCGAGCGGGUCAGGGCAGUCCCAGGAGUUACCCGGGAGCUGACAGAAGGGAAGAGGGAAAGGAGGAGGACCUCUUCCCCCUGCCCAGGGCGCAGACGAUGGCCGCCGCCUCCCCGGCUCACCGGAGCUCCCGCUCAGCCUCCCCUGGCCCCCCCCUUGCCCCGUGCGCCUGCCCCCAGCCCCGGCACCUCCCCUGAAGCGUGCUGCGUAGCCCUUGGCCGCCCCCAGGCCCUGUCGUGAAGGCAGCGAGCCGGCCCUCGAGCGCACUGGAUUCCCCCUCGGCGCAGGGGCCCUUAGCAGUAGCGCGGGGAAGGGGCGGUGUGUCCAGAAGCCCCUGCGCAAGGAGGGGCUUUGGCCAGGGUCGAUCGACGGUAAUGACGGUCGCUGUUUCUUCUUUCCCUCUCGCAGAGACCGUGCUGAGGACGUGGUUGUCUGUCCUUCCCCCGGGGAUGCCGUUGACUGCAGCCGUCUCAGGCUUGCGUGGCUUCUCUCUGCCCGGCGUUGCCAUCCUCGCAGCGCGGGGGCGAAAAGGGACACACAGAGCCCUUCCCGGCUGUGGACAGGAGCUGCCUCGGCUGAAGCUGGAGACGCCAACGAAAGGUAAAGCAGAAGAAACUGAAGGCGCUCUGGCUGCCAGCUGCCUUCCUGCCGCAGGCGAGAGAGAGCCUGUCCCUGCAGGUGGAGGACGGCCUAGAGUCUGGAGCUGCAGAAGAGGCAGGGCGGAGAGGAGGGGAAAGAAGCAUCUGAACGGCUAAAUUGUGCCAGCAGCGCUGAGAGCGAGAGUCGCGCCUGUGGCUACUUUUUCUUUCUCCGCCUCUCUCUGCCUGGCUCUGGCUCCGUUUUUAUUUUUUUAUUCCUCCUGCUCUGUCCUGUAGCCUGUCGGUAUUUUGUCUUUCUCUGGCCCUCUUGGUCUGACUCCGUGUGUUACCGAAAAACGCGGUAAAAUCGGAAACAACUCCUCAACGCCGAUUUAGUAUUAAAGAGCAGGCGUUCUUUAUUCACGGCACCAGAUGCACGGGGGAUCGCUCCUCCUGGCGUGCGUCCCUCACACACCUUUCCCGUAGAAUUUGUAGAUCAAAAUUUUACGUAUUCAUACAUAUUCAUUAUCGUCCUGUCUACUGAUCGGUACAAACUGGCUCGUUCCGUAUGUAAAUCACUGCGCAGGCUCGGUGGUGGUCCGUGAGUCGGUGGUCGCGAUCUCCCCCUGCCAGAAUUGCCUUUUACCUUCUUGGCUCUUAAUCUUGGCGGUCUUGGCUAGUUUUCUCAGUGCGCUACACGAAACCGCGUUUUGUCAUCCUUUUCUGACAGAAGCACGUUGUCUGUUGUUCUGCUGACAUUAACGAUCGCCUAGGGACUAAAAUGCAGAUCGACAGAUGCGCUGAUUCGUACGCUCCGUGUUCCCGUAAUGGAACACCGUCUCUGGUUGGUUGAUUUCAUCGCUUUGGUUACACCUGUUCCUGUUGUUCAGUUUCUUCUUUUUUGGCUUUGUUUGAUUCUCUCUGUGAUUCUGUUUUUCUCUGCCUCGCUUUUCCCAGCUCCCCGUCCCUCACUUUGAAUACCCGUUAUCCUUCACCAGCUCACUCUCCCUUGGUUGCCAUCCCCGUUUCUGAGUUCCUCCUGCUUUGCCACGUAGCCCGUGACUUUUUUCUUAAUCUCUCUCUGUCUGCCUCAACGCUCCCGCCGCGCUUUUUAGUUCGUCUGCUCUGCUCUGUACCCUGCUACUGUUACUUGCCUGCCUGAGUUCUUCUCUGUCCAGCUCCCUUUUCCUAUUCAUGAAUUCCUGUUCUUCCUGCACCCGCCGCUGUUCCCUGUGAUCUCCGUCUCCCUCUGUCCAGCUCCCUGUCCCUAGGUUUUCAUUCCUGCCUCUGCCCGCUGUAGCCCGUCUAGAUUUUUCUCUCGGCCUCUCUCUCUGUCCGGCUCCCCCUCUCUGUGUUCUAAUUCCACGUUCUCUGUCACGUAGACCCGUGCUAUUUGUUUGUCCUCAUCUCUCUCUGUCCAGCUCCUUGCUGCUAUGUUUUAUUUCUUCCCUCUCUGUCUGUCUUUGUAGCCCAUUGCCGUUGUGGUUUUUUUUUUUUUUUUCCUACUUGUUUCUUCAUGUGUCUCUGUCUGCCUCCCAGUGCCUGAUCUUUAAUUCCUCCUUCCCUGUAGGCCGCUGUUCCUUUUUUCCAUUCUACAUUGUGUUCUCUUUGGUCUCCUGUUCUUAUUCAUCGAUUCCCUCCUCGCCGCCCUGUGGCCUGUCCCCAUUUUAUUGUUGCGCCUCUCUCCCUCUCUCUGGCUUCUUGCCCCUGUUUUGAAAAUUCCUCCCUCUCUUCUCUCUUCCCUGUUGGCCGUGUGAUCUUCAGCCUUUCUCCAUCUCUUUCUGCCCAGCUCUCUGUGUCUAUUCAUUAAUUCUUCCCUCUCUGCCCUGUAGCCUGUAGCUUUUGUCCUUUCUCCAUCUUGCUGUCUCUGGCUUCCCCAUGACCCUGUUUUAGAAUUGUUUCUCUCUCCUUUCUGUACGCAUUGCGAUUCCUUUUGCUCCCCAUCUCCCUUUGUUUUGGGUGUUUUUUUUUGUUGUUGUUUCUCUGGCUCCCUGUCCCUAAUUGUUAAUUCUCUGCCUUCUCAUGCUCUGUACCACGUAGCCCCAUGGUUUGUUUUGUGGUGUUCCCUCCCCGGCCCCUUCCCUCCGUUGUUGGCUGUCUUGGCUCCCUGUCCCCGUGGCUUCAUUCUUCCCUCUCUGCCCUGUUCUUGUCGCUUGUCUUGUCUGUCUCCAUCGCGCUCGGUCCAGCUUCCUGCCCCUAUUCUUCUUUCCUCCCUCGCUGUCGUGCUGCCUGCCCCAGGUUCUCUGUGCGUCUCCAGCCUGCUCCUCUUCCUUCUUUGUUGGUCUGUGUCCUGCUCUUCCCCUCUCUCUGCUGCCUCUCUUCCCCUCUCUCUGCUGCCUCUCUUCC